CUCAGGCUCAGAGGCACCGGGAGUGGGGCGCGCCCACCUUCGGAGGGAAAAUCUGGCAGGAGAAAUCCCAAGAGUUCCUGCCCCCUUGAGGGAAGGGUUAGUGUAUGAUUUUCACCACUGCUUUGGGAAUAACCCCCAUCCCCAUAGACGUAGCUGUAGCUGUAUUUAGCAAGGUAUGAAAACUCCCUUUUGAGUGUUCUUUGGCCAUCUGAGUGUUCCUGAUUCUGUGGCUCCCCUUCUGAAGCUAUAGAACACAUUUUCUUUUCCUGCCCAAUAGUAGCUCCAGGUUCCUCUCCAAGCAGGUCACAACCAAGCUCCAGGAGAACCCCCAAAGGCAAGGAAAAGGUAUAUCAGGGGACUCUUCUGAUUCACCAGCCUCUUUUACCAGAAGACAAAAUCUUUC
rnacentral:lncRNA from 1 species